rnacentral:misc_RNA from 1 species
UAGAGUUUGUGGGCUUUGCCCGCUACCUCUUACCCAUGUCUUUUGAGUACUUACGUUUCCUCGGCGGGUUCGCCCGCCGACUGGACAAAAUUAAACCCUUUGUAAUUGAAAUCAGCGUCUGAAAAACAUAAUAGUUACAACUUUCAACAACGGAUCUCUUGGUUCU